rnacentral:rRNA from 1 species
AGUCUGCAACCCGACUCCGUGAAGCUGGAUUCGCUAGUAAUCGCGCAUCAGCCAUGGCGCGGUGAAUACGUUCCCGGGCCUUGUACACACCGCCCGUCAAGCCAUGGGAGCCGGGGGUGCCUGAAGUUCGUGACCGCAAGGAGCGACCUAGGGCAAGACUGGUGACUGGGGCUAAGUCGUAACAAGGUAAC